rnacentral:rRNA from 1 species
CAUGCAAGUCGUACGCUUCUUUUUCCACCGGAGCUUGCUCCACCGGAAAAAGAGGAGUGGCGAACGGGUGAGUAACACGUGGGUAACCUGCCCAUCAGAAGGGGAUAACACUUGGAAACAGGUGCUAAUACCGUAUAACAAUCGAAACCGCAUGGUUUUGAUUUGAAAGGCGCUUUCGGGUGUCGCUGAUGGAUGGACCCGCGGUGCAUUAGCUAGUUGGUGAGGUAACGGCUCACCAAGGCCACGAUGCAUAGCCGACCUGAGAGGGUGAUCGGCCACAUUGGGACUGAGACACGGCCCAAACUCCUACGGGAGGCAGCAGUAGGGAAUCUUCGGCAAUGGACGAAAGUCUGACCGAGCAACGCCGCGUGAGUGAAGAAGGUUUUCGGAUCGUAAAACUCUGUUGUUAGAGAAGAACAAGGAUGAGAGUAACUGUUCAUCCCUUGACGGUAUCUAACCAGAAAGCCACGGCUAACUACGUGCCAGCAGCCGCGGUAAUACGUAGGUGGCAAGCGUUGUCCGGAUUUAUUGGGCGUAAAGCGAGCGCAGGCGGUUUCUUAAGUCUGAUGUGAAAGCCCCCGGCUCAACCGGGGAGGGUCAUUGGAAACUGGGAGACUUGAGUGCAGAAGAGGAGAGUGGAAUUCCAUGUGUAGCGGUGAAAUGCGUAGAUAUAUGGAGGAACACCAGUGGCGAAGGCGGCUCUCUGGUCUGUAACUGACGCUGAGGCUCGAAAGCGUGGGGAGCAAACAGGAUUAGAUACCCUGGUAGUCCACGCCGUAAACGAUGAGUGCUAAGUGUUGGAGGGUUUCCGCCCUUCAGUGCUGCAGCUAACGCAUUAAGCACUCCGCCUGGGG